AAUGGAUGGAAAUCUGAUCCAGCCAUGCCGCGUGCAGGAAGACGGCCCUAUGGGUUGUAAACUGCUUUUGUAUGGGAGCAAUAAGGGCUACGUGUAGUCCGAUGAGAGUACCAUACGAAUAAGGACCGGCUAACUCCGUGCCAGCAGCCGCGGUAAUACGGAGGGUCCGAGCGUUAUCCGGAUUUAUUGGGUUUAAAGGGUGCGUAGGCGGUUUUAUAAGUCAGCGGUGAAAUUUUCCGGCUCAACCGGGAUACUGCCGUUGAUACUGUAAGGCUAGGAUAUGGUUGCUGUGGGUGGAAUGUGUGGUGUAGCGGUGAAAUGCUUAGAGAUCACACAGAAUAUCGAUUGCGAAGGCAGCUCACAAAGCCAUUAUUGACGCUGAGGCACGAAAGUGUGGGGAUCAAA
rnacentral:rRNA from 1 species